GUGCCAGCAGCCGCGGUAAUACGUAGGGCGCAAGCGUUGUCCGGAAUUAUUGGGCGUAAAGAGCUCGUAGGCGGUUUGUCGCGUCUGCUGUGAAAACGCAAGGCUUAACCUUGCGCCUGCAGUGGGUACGGGCAGACUAGAGUGCGGUAGGGGAGACUGGAAUUCCUGGUGUAGCGGUGGAAUGCGCAGAUAUCAGGAGGAACACCGAUGGCGAAGGCAGGUCUCUGGGCCGUUACUGACGCUGAGGAGCGAAAGCAUGGGGAGCGAACAGGAUUAGAUA
rnacentral:rRNA from 1 species